GAUGAAGAACGUAGCGAAAUGCGAUACUUGGUGUGAAUUGCAGAAUCCCGUGAACCAUCGAGUCUUUGAACGCAAGUUGCGCCCGAAGCCAUUAGGCCGAGGGCACGCCUGCCUGGGUGUCACACACCGUUACCCUCGCGCCAACGUCCAUCGUUGGCCGCGGCGCGGGGCGUGCGCUGACCUCCCGCGAGCGGGGUCUCGUGGUUGGUUGAAAAUCGAGUUCGCGGUCGAGGGUGCCGUGAUGAAAUGGUGGAUGGGCGACGCCCGAGGCCAAUCACGCGCGACUCUGUCCGGCUCGGAGUCCUGGACCCCUUCGGCGUCUCCGGACGCUCUUUGGCGAGACCUCAGGUCAGGCGGGGCUACCCGCUGAGUUUAAGCAUAUCAAUAAGCGGAGGA
rnacentral:misc_RNA from 1 species